rnacentral:rRNA from 1 species
CGUCUAUAUACGUAUAGCAUAUCAAUAAGCGGAGGAAAAGAAACUAACUAGGAUUCCCAUCAGUAACGGCGAGUGAAGCGGGAAGAGCUCAAAUUUGAAAUCCUCAAGGUUUUACCUUGACGAAUUGUAGUUUAAAGAAGUGUUUUCUGUUGGAGUUUUGGUAAAAGUUCUUUGGAAUAGGACAUCAUAGAGGGUGAGAAUCCCGUAUUUGACCAUUAUUUCCAACUUUGUGAUACACUUUCAAAGAGUCGGAUUGUUUGGGAAUGCAGUCCAAAAUGGGUGGUAAAUUUCAUCUAAAGCUAAAUACUGGCGAGAGACCGAUAGCGAACAAGUACCGUGAGGGAAAGAUGAAAAGAACUUUGAAAAGAGAGUUAAACAGUACGUGAAAUUGUCAAAAGGGAAGCGUUUGACACCAGUGUUGUUUUCUCGAAAAUCAAUUAAAAAUGCAUGGAUUUUGUGUUGUAUUGACUUUAUCAGCUUUCUGCACUCUUUUCUUGUCUUUUUUAAUGCACUUUUCGUUUAACAAGUCAACAUCAAUUUCUUUUGUUGUAAAAGGGUCAUUGGAAGGUGGCUUUCUUUUCGGAGAAAGUGUUUAUAGCCUUUGACUCCUGCAAUCGGAGAGAUUGAGGUCUGCAGCGUAGAUCCUUCGGGGUUAGAUACAUUUGUGCUAAGUUAUAGCCUUUCAUAGACAACUUGUUGACUAUGAUCAGUCAUGUAGCUUACUCGCUUAUGUCUAUUUUACCUACGCUUAGGAUGUUGAUCUGUAGUGCGUGCGC